AGUGAACGCUGGCGGUAGGCCUAACACAUGCAAGUCGAACGGCAGCACAGUAAGAGCUUGCUCUUACGGGUGGCGAGUGGCGGACGGGUGAGGAAUACAUCGGAAUCUACUUUUUCGUGGGGGAUAACGUAGGGAAACUUACGCUAAUACCGCAUACGACCUACGGGGGAAAGCAGGGGAUCUUCGGACCUUUCGCGGUUGAAUGAGCGGUUGUCGGAUUGGCUAGUUGGCGGGGUAAAGGCCCACAAGGCGACGAUCCGCAGAUGGUCUGAGAGGAUGAUCAGCCACCCUGGAACUGAGACACGGUCCAGACUCCUACGGGAGGCAGCAGUGGGGAAUAUUGGACAAUGGGCGCGAGCCUGAUCCAGCCAUACCGCGUGGGUGAAGAAGGCCUUCGGGUUGUAAAGCCCUUUUGUUGGGAAAGAAAAGCAGCAGGUUAAUACCCCGCUGUUCUGACGGUACCCAAAGAAUAAGCACCGGCUAACUUCGUG
rnacentral:rRNA from 1 species